rnacentral:rRNA from 1 species
AGUGAACGCUGGCAGUAGGCCUAACACAUGCAAGUCGAACGGCAGCACAGUAAGAGCUUGCUCUUACGGGUGGCGAGUGGCGGACGGGUGAGGAAUACAUCGGAAUCUACUUUUUCGUGGGGGAUAACGUAGGGAAACUUACGCUAAUACCGCAUACGACCUACGGGUGAAAGCAGGGGAUCUUCGGACCUUGCGCGAUUGAAUGAGCCGAUGUCGGAUUAGCUAGUUGGCGGGGUAAAGGCCCACCAAGGCGACGAUCCGUAGCUGGUCUGAGAGGAUGAUCAGCCACACUGGAACUGAGACACGGUCCAGACUCCUACGGGAGGCAGCAGUGGGGAAUAUUGGACAAUGGGCGCAAGCCUGAUCCAGCCAUACCGCGUGGGUGAAGAAGGCCUUCGGGUUGUAAAGCCCUUUUGUUGGGAAAGAAAGGCAGCAGGUUAAUACCCCGCUGUUCUGACGGUACCCAAAGAAUAAGCACCGGCUAACUUCGUG